rnacentral:rRNA from 1 species
GGCGGACGGGUGAGUAACGCGUGGGUAACCUGCCUCAUACAGGGGGAGUAACAGUUAGAAAUGGCUGCUAAUACCGCAUAAGACCACGGUACUGCAUGGUACAGUGGUAAAAACUCCGGUGGUAUGAGAUGGACCCGCGUCUGAUUAGGUAGUUGGUGAGGUAACGGCCCACCAAGCCGACGAUCAGUAGCCGACCUGAGAGGGUGACCGGCCACAUUGGGACUGAGACACGGCCCAGACUCCUACGGGAGGCAGCAUG